CCUACGGGUGACAGCAGUGGGGAAUAUUGGGCAAUGGGCGCAAGCCUGACCCAGCAACGCCGCGUGAAGGAAGAAGGCUUUCGGGUUGUAAACUUCUUUUCUCAGGGACGAAGCAAGUGACGGUACCUGCUGAAUAAGCCACGGCUAACUACGUGCCAGCAGCCGCGGUAAUACGUAGGUGGCAAGCGUUAUCCGGAUUUACUGGGUGUAAAGGGCGUGUAGGCGGGAAGGCAAGUCAGAUGUGAAAACCAUGGGCUCAACCUGAUGCUUGCAUUUGAAACUGUUUUUCUUGAGUACAGGAGAGGCAGACGGAAUUCGUGGUGUAGCGGUGAAAUGCGUAGAUAUUAGGAGGAACACCGAUGGCGAAGGCAGUCUGCUGGACAGCAACUGAUGCUGAGGCGCGAAAGCGUGGGUAGCAAACAGGAUUAGAUACCCUUGUAGUC
rnacentral:rRNA from 1 species